CCUACGGGCGGCUGCAGUGGGGAAUAUUGGACAAUGGGGGGAACCCUGAUCCAGCCAUGCCGCGUGUGUGAAGAAGGCCCUCGGGUUGUAAAGCACUUUCAGUGAGGAAGAACGCCUGGUGGUUAAUACCCAUCAGGAAAGACAUCACUCACAGAAGAAGCACCGGCUAACUCCGUGCCAGCAGCCGCGGUAAUACGGAGGGUGCGAGCGUUAAUCGGAAUUACUGGGCGUAAAGCGCGCGUAGGUGGCUUGAUAAGCCGGUUGUGAAAGCCCCGGGCUCAACCUGGGAACGGCAUCCGGAACUGUCAAGCUAGAGUGCAGGAGAGGAAGGUAGAAUUCCCGGUGUAGCGGUGAAAUGCGUAGAGAUCGGGAGGAAUACCAGUGGCGAAGGCGGCCUUCUGGACUGACACUGACACUGAGGUGCGAAAGCGUGGGUAGCAAACAGGAUUAGAUAUCCCUGUAGUC
rnacentral:rRNA from 1 species